AUGUAGCUCAAUGAUAAAGCCCUUGCCUGGCAUGCAUGAGGCCCUGGGUUCAACUCCCAGCAU
rnacentral:tRNA from 1 species